UGUGCCAAUCCGGAUAGGUGCCGAGAUGCCGACGAGAAAUGUGAUUCCUACCUUCCGGCGUGCUCACCUCCCCAAAUCUAGCUGUGGCGAUUCAUGGAUGUCUCACUGGCAGCUGGUGGAUCGUUCCCCAAACUUCUCAGUGGUAUCCUGGUGAACCCUUCGAAGGAAACGCGCUCUCUUAUGCACUCAUCUUGUUUUGAGAAUGGAUGGACGAAACCGUCAAUGCGAGAAAGUCUUCUGCGUUUAUGGCCACCAUUUGGAGAUACUGUUCAUUAAGUUACUCGAGGACCCAGAGCCCGAUAUCUGACGACCCAGACAAAAUCCUCUCAAAGCUCAGAGCCAAGAACCGGUGGGUUUCUGCUUAUUCAUUUUCCCCCAUGAUGAACUUGAAUACAGUGAAAGAUACAGGCUGUGUCUGCUUCCCUGUUUCUUCCUUCCUGCAACUGCCCUUGGCCAAGGGCUCUUGCAGCCACCUCGGAUCUCUUUGAAGAAAGCAGGAUAUGAAUCAACAAAUUGAAAAGAAGCUAGAAAACACCAAGUGAGGAAGUUUGGGG